rnacentral:lncRNA from 1 species
GUUAAGAUGUAUAAGUGGAUACUGCACAUCAAGAUGUAUAAGUGGAUAAUCCGCGUUAAGUUGUAGAUGCGGAUAAUCAGAUAUAUUUAAAAAGAUUCUUAAGAUACAGAAUACCGGCUGUAUCUUGUGAUUAUAUUGUCUAUCUUUAUGAAAAUGACCAGAAUUUAGAUGAUCCUUUUAAUUUUUUGAAGCCAUAAAUAGCAGU